UACGUAGGGGGCAAGCGUUGUCCGGAAUCAUUGGGCGUAAAGAGCGUGUAGGCGGUCCGAUCAGUCGGCUGUGAAAGUCCAGGGCUCAACUCUGGAAUGCCGGCCGAUACUGUCGGACUAGAGUCCGGAAGAGGUGAGUGGAAUUCCCGGUGUAGCGGUGAAAUGCGCAGAUAUCGGGAGGAACACCAACGGCGAAGGCAGCUCACUGGGACGGCACUGACGCUGAGACGCGAAAGCGUGGGGAGCAAACAGGG
rnacentral:rRNA from 1 species